GGAAUAUUGGACAAUGGGCGAAAGCCUGAUCCAGCCAUGCCGCGUGUGUGAAGAAGGUCUUCGGAUUGUAAAGCACUUUAAGUUGGGAGGAAGGGCAGUAAGUUAAUACCUUGCUGUUUUGACGUUACCAACAGAAUAAGCACCGGCUAACUUCGUGCCAGCAGCCGCGGUAAUACGAAGGGUGCAAGCGUUAAUCGGAAUUACUGGGCGUAAAGCGCGCGUAGGUGGUUCAGCAAGUUGGAUGUGAAAUCCCCGGGCUCAACCUGGGAACUGCAUCCAAAACUACUGAGCUAGAGUACGGUAGAGGGUGGUGGAAUUUCCUGUGUAGCGGUGAAAUGCGUAGAUAUAGGAAGGAACACCAGUGGCGAAGGCGACCACCUGGACUGAUACUGACACUGAGGUGCGAAAGCGUGGGGAGCAAACA
rnacentral:rRNA from 1 species